ensembl:lncRNA novel transcript
AGGGGCGGGAAGGUUAGAAGGAGCCAGGGCUAGAGUCCUGGAAGGUGGCAGUCAGGUCGCAGGGCCACAGCAGUCACUCUGCGACUCUCUCUUCCGGUGUUUCUCCAGCGCCAAGCGGGAGAAGACGGAGCCUGGGAGCUGGGACUGGAGGAGCGGGAAGCGCAGUAUCGGGACCACGGCUCUGGGACCAGGAAAAACGCAGACUCUCCAGAGUCAAUGUCUACUUCAGCCAGCUCAAGGGCGCGACAACCUGGCGCCGAGCAUCUCAGGCCGCCGCGGGGACCCCCCCUAAGGGACUCGGGAACACCUGCCUACCCUAGAAGAGGCGGAGAAUAACCCCGUAGGGAGUUAAGCGGCCUCUGCCUACAGCGUUCCUCCCGCCUCCACGGCGCCGAGCCCUGAUUGACGUUCAGCCAGGCCAAUCAUAGCCUGUGUCUGAGGCGCGCGGAGCUGGAGCGCCCAGGGCAUGUCCGCCGAUCCCAAGGAGGCAAUCUGUCAGGCGCCGCCCGGGCGGCAGUAUGCCUGAGGGGGUCCUCCGUGUUCGCGCCUCCCGCCGCCUGCACUGAAAGGUCUGUACCUGAGCCUGGAUACUUGAACAGAGGCAGACACUGCGGCUCAAAACCCCAAGGAAUAUCCUAGCUCUGAGACAAAAAUUGGGAACCUCAGCAUGAGUUUGUCACCUGAAUGAAAUAAAAAAAAUCACGUUGAAGGCUGGUGCAGUAACAUGUGCCUGUAGUCCCAGCUACUCUGGAGGCUGAGUCAGGAGGAUCACUUGAGACCAGAAGUUCAGGAAUUCAAGACUGGCUUGAGCAACAUAGCAAGACUUCAUUUCAAAACAAACAGAAAAAAGCCACCACCUUCAGUAUUUCUUGCCAAAGCAAAGGAGCCAUUUGUUCUUUACGAUGGUCAGGAAAGGAAGCAUCAAGGUCAUCAAAUGAAAAAUUUUCAGCAUUUCAGCCUCUCUGCUCAGGGAAAUAUCUGAAUCUAGAAUAUCACAACAUGAGCCAAAACCGCCCCAUUUCUCAUGCCACAUGUCACUCUUAACACAAGGUUACUCAACCUCGAGCAUGGUUGGCAUUUGGGGCUGAAUAAUUCUUUUUUGUAGGGGGCUGUCCUGGGCAUUGUAGGAUGCUCAUGAGCUACCUCAGUCUCUACCACCCACUAGAUGCCAGUAGCAUUGACCCCUGAUCUCUCUACCCAAGUUGUGACAACUAAAACCAUCUCUGGAUAAUGGAGGAACCUUAAAUGCAUAUUGCUAAGGAAAAGCCAAUCUGAAAGGAUUACAUAUUGUAUGAGUCCAACUAUAUGGUAAUCUGGAAAAGGCAAAACCAUGGAGACAGUGAAAAGGUAGUGGUUACCAGUGGUCCAUGGGAAGGGUUGGAUGAAUAGGUGGAGCACAGAGGAUUUUUAAGGCAGUGAAACUAUUCUGAAUGAUACUGUAAUGGUGGAUACAUGUCAUACCUUUGUCAAAACCAAUAAAAUAUAACAACCAAUAAAACUGCACAAAGAGUGAACCCUAAUGUAAACUAUGGACUUAAUAAUGUAUCAAUAUUGGCUCACCAAUUUUAACAAAUGUACCACACUAAUGCAAGAUGUUACUAAUAGUGGAAACUGGAGGGAAGAGGGCUUGAGGGGACAUACGGGAACUCUCUGUAAUUCCUGUUCAGUUUUUCUGUAACUGUUAAACUGUCCAAAAAAAGUCUGUUUUUAUAAAUGGAGGCAUGGUUUUAUAUGGACUAAAAUACUAUGAUUGCCUUUUUAUUUUACACAUGGUGAAAUUAGAGCAGGACAUAUUUUAAACUCAAAAUUCACAAAAUUAAUUUAUGAAAAUGUUUACCCAGAUCAAGAAUAUUAAAGAAACUUAGAUUAAUAUUGUUACCUUGAAUUUAUUUUACUGAGUAAUCCUCUAAGACUCCUCUACACAUUAUUAAUCUAGAAGGAUUUUUAAAGUCUUUAUGACAAUUAAUUAUUGGUCUACAGUCAAAUUGCGUAUCCCCAUUAACUAGAGUUAUAUUUUUCCAUUUUCUGAUCCAAAAACUUUAGGAACAGGAAAUGUUUAUUUUAGAAAACAAGAACACUUCUUAAGCAUUUGCUGUUAACAGUUAUUUUCACAUGUGCUUGUACUUAUUUUACACUUGUCAGAACAUAGUAUUUACCUUUGAACCAAGGUUUUAUAAUAAGCAAGCACUUUUUUUAUUUAGAAGUCACAUUUUCCAAGUAGAAAAAUCAUUAAAAAUUCAGUCCUCUGAAGGCUAAUUUCUUUAAAUCAUUUAACCUAAUUGUUUAAGGUAUAGAUUGGAAUUUUUCUCAGCACUCUCUUGAAAACAGGUGACAGUGGAACCCUGUUAGGUUCACAAAUCCUAGACUUUGAUUAUAUAGCCCAGGCUCAAAUUUUUCUCGAAUGUUACGAACAUUCAAAGCAUUAGGAGUCUUGGUUUCAUUUCUUAAUUUUUUUUCUUCUGGGUAUAUUUGAGACUCAUCUUGGAUUCAAAUAAAUUAAUAAUAGUCUCAUGAAACCGAUAAAAAUGGGAGCUCCAUUGAACAUGAGAGACAUUGAUUCGUAGUUUCUAACAUCCUCCAAAUGAGGAGCCCAUCCCUAAUUUAGAUGCUUCUUUCAAAGGAGGCUCCUUUCCUUCGUUAUCCAUAAUAUAGUCACACCAGUCCUGAAAAAACAUGGAACAGACUCCAGAUCUUUAUAUUUCAUACUCUAAAGUCGUACAAGCCAAUCUGCAUUUCCUCUAGUGGAAACUGUAUAGCUGGUCAUCUUUCCAGGACCCUUUUAUCAAGAAACAAUGCAGCUUCUACAUUUGUGCUGCUUCUACACCAAAACAGCUGGAAUGUAUAUAGUAUGGUUCUGGAUGCUCUUGUAUACCUCACUCUUCAUUUCUCACCUAACCCAUGUGCUAUGAUUUGAAUGUUUCUCCCCUGCAAAACUCAUGUUGAAAUGUAAUUGCCAUGAUAACAGUAUUAAUAGGUGGAAUAUUUAAGAGGUGAUUAGGGUGGGAUUGGUGAUGUUAUAAAAGGGUAAGUUCAGCCCCUUCUUGCUCUCUCUGUCACCCUUCCACCUUCCUCUGUGUGAUGAUGCAACAAAAAAGCCCUUCCCAGAUGCCAGCAUCUUGAUUUUGGACUUCUCAGCCUACAGAACUAUAAGCCAAUAAAUUUCUGUUAUUUGUUAUUAGUCUGUGAUAUUCUGUUACAGUAGCACAAAAUGGACUAUGACACCAUGUGUUUACACAGAAAGAAAAAAAUAUCAUACGGUAAUUGCUCCUAAAUAUGCAGAGAAUAUGUUCUGAUAUCCUUAGUGGAUGCCUGAAACUGCAGAUAGUACCAAACCUUAUAUAUACUAUGUUUUUUUUCCCAUACAUAUGCAUGUUAAAGUUUAUAAGUUAGGCAGAGUAAGAUAUGAACAAUAACUAAUAAUGAAAUAGAAACGUAACGAUGUGCUGUAAUAAAAGUUAUGUGACUGAC